AAGGACUUAAGCUAACUCAAACUAAAAGCCUUCAAAGCUUUAAUUGGACAAAAUCCAGCCCUUA
rnacentral:tRNA from 1 species